UGGGGAAUAUUGCACAAUGGGCGCAAGCCUGAUGCAGCCAUGCCGCGUGUGUGAAGAAGGCCUUCGGGUUGUAAAGCACUUUCAGCGAGGAGGAAGGUGGUGAGCUUAAUACGCUCAUCAAUUGACGUUACUCGCAGAAGAAGCACCGGCUAACUCCGUGCCAGCAGCCGCGGUAAUACGGAGGGUGCAAGCGUUAAUCGGAAUUACUGGGCGUAAAGCGCACGCAGGCGGUUUGUUAAGUCAGAUGUGAAAUCCCCGGGCUCAACCUGGGAACUGCAUUUGAAACUGGCAAGCUAGAGUCCCGUAGAGGGGGGUAGAAUUCCAGGUGUAGCGGUGAAAUGCGUAGAGAUCUGGAGGAAUACCGGUGGCGAAGGCGGCCCCCUGGACGAAGACUGACGCUCAGGUGCGAAAGCGUGGGGCAGCAAACAGGAUUAGAUACCCUGGUAGUCCAGCGCUGUAAACGAUGUCGAUUUGGAGGUUGUGCCCUUGAGGCGUGGCUUCCGGAGCUAACGCGUUAAAUCGACCGCCUGGGGAGUACGGCCGCAAGGUUAAAACUC
rnacentral:rRNA from 1 species